GCCCCUUAUACGCUGGGCUACACACGUGCUACAAUGGGUAGAACAGAGAGUUGCAAAGCCGUGAGGUGAAGCUAAUCUCAGAAAACUAUUCUUAGUUCGGAUUGUACUCUGCAACUCGAGUACAUGAAGUUGGAAUCGCUAGUAAUCGCGAAUCAGCAAUGUCGCGGUGAAUACGUUCUCGGGCCUUGUACACACCGCCCGUCACACCACGAGAGUUGGUUGCACCUGAAGUAGCAGGCCUAACCGUAAGGAAGGAUGCUCCGAGGGUGUGAUUAGCGAUUGGGGUGAAGUCGUAACAAGGUAUCCGUACGGGAACGUGCGGAUGGAUCACCUCCUUUCUAAGGAGUAUAGGUCUUUCUCUAUUCUAUUGGUAAUGUUCUUUACAUUACUUCUGAACAUUGGAAACUAUAUAGUAGAACAAACAAGAAAAAAAAUUAACUCUAACAAUUUCUUAGAGUUAGCUGUCAAAAAAUAGAUUAAAAUAAUUAAGGGCACACAAAGGAUGCCUAGGUAGUAAGAGCCGAUGAAGGACGUGGUAAGCUGCGAUAAGCCUAG
rnacentral:sRNA from 1 species